rnacentral:lncRNA from 1 species
UUUUUAUAGCUAUAGUGUAAAAUUGACAAUGUCAACUUUGAACAAGUUUCCGAUAACGGCCAACGAAAUUGAAUUUGACGAGUUAAUAUAUUGUUGGAAUCAUAAUUUCAUAAAGAAAUCUAAUAUAUGCUGCAAAUUGUGAAAUAAGCUACGAAUUACAAUGAAAAAUAACAAAAGUGGAUGAUAUUCGAUUAAAGAAUGUGCCGAGUCGACUAAACUAUGCAUCGGAAUGUAAAACUAAUUAUAUAUUCACGAUCAGCG